CGGCGGACGGGUGAGUAACGCGUGGGUAACCUGCCCUGUACACACGGAUAACAUACCGAAAGGUAUGCUAAUACGGGAUAACAUAAGAAAUUCGCAUGUUUUUCUUAUCAAAGCUCCGGCGGUACAGGAUGGACCCGCGUCUGAUUAGCUAGUUGGUGAGGUAAUGGCUCACCAAGGCGACGAUCAGUAGCCGACCUGAGAGGGUGACCGGCCACAUUGGGACUGAGACACGGCCCAA
rnacentral:rRNA from 1 species